rnacentral:rRNA from 1 species
UACGUAGGGUGCGAGCGUUAAUCGGAAUUACUGGGCGUAAAGCGCGUGUAGGCGGCUUGAUAAGUCUGGCGUGAAAGCCUGAAGCUCAACUUCAGAAGUGCGCUGGAAACUAUCGAGCUUGAGUACUGGAGGGGGAAGGGGAAUUCUCGGGUGUAGAGGUGAAAUUCGUAGAUAUCCGGAAGAACAUCAGUGGCGAAGGCGCCUUCCUGGACAGAUACUGACGCUGAGACGCGAAAGCGUGGGGAGCAAACAGG